UUUUCUAACAAUUUCAAACGAACUCUAUUUCCAAUUCUUUCCAUUUCAACUCUAAUCACUCCUCUUAAUCCCCGGCGCACCAACAUUAAUUUCAUUCUAGCAAUGUUGUCGUUUUCAACCAAAAAGUUUCAGAGGUACUAUGCUUCUUCUAUCCCUCUUUUUCAACUUCCAAACCCUAAUUUCAUUCGUUCUUCAACAAUGUUAUACUCUCAAUUACACAACCAACAUGAAGAUCAUGAUAAUCUUGUUUCUUCAUUCAAUCACUUGUUACAUCAGAAUCCAACCCCACCCAUCUUCCAUUUUAAUAAGAUUUUAGGUUCUCUUGUUAAGUCCAAUCAUUACUAUACUGUUAUUUCACUUCAUCGUCAUAUGGAAUUAAAUGGAAUUGCUUCAGAUUUAGUCACUUUGAGCAUCUUGAUCAAUUGCUUUUCUCAAUUGGGUUUAAACUCUCUUUCCUUUUCUGUAUUUGCCAACAUUCUCAAAAAGGGUUAUGACCCAGAUGUCAUAACUUUGACCACACUCAUCAAGGGUUAUUGCCUCAAAGGUGAGAUCCAUAAAGCUUUGCACUUUCACGACAAGGUGGUAGCGCAGGGGUUCCAGUUGAACCAAGUUAGUUAUGGGACCUUAAUCAACGGGUUAUGUAAAGUAGGAGAAACAAGUGCAGCCUUGCAGUUGCUGAGACGAGUUGAUGGGAAACUGGUUCGACCUAAUGUGGUAAUGUACACUGCAAUUAUUGACAGUAUGUGCAAAGAUAAACUUGUUGAUGAUGCUUUUCAUUUAUAUUCUGAAAUGGUCGCUAAGAGAAUUUAUCCCAAUGUUUUUACUUACAAUGCUUUGAUUAAUGGCUUUUGCAUUGUUGGUAAAUUGAAAGAAGCAAUUGAUCUGUUUAAUAAAAUGAUAUUGGAAAACAUCAACCCUGAUGUGUAUACCUUCAAUAUAUUGGUUGAUGCAUUUUGUAAGGAAGGAAAAGUGAAAGAAGCUAAUAAUGUGUUUGCUAUGAUGAUCAGAAAAGGUGUUAAACCUGAUGUUAUUACUUAUAACUCGUUAAUGGAUGGAUAUUGCUUAGUUAAACAAGUGAACAAGGCCAAGGGUAUAUUCAAUAUCAUGGCCCAAAGUGGAGUGACUCCUGAAGUUUGGAGCUAUAGUAUUAUGAUUAAUGGAUUUUGUAAGGUUAAUAUGGUGGAUGAAGCCUUAAUUCUCUUCAAAGAAAUGCGUUGUAGAAACAUUAUUCCUAAUGUAGUAACUUACAAUUCCCUUAUUGAUGGUUUGGGCAAAUCAGGGAGAAUCUCACAUGCUUUGAAGCUUGUCGAUGAGAUGCAUGAUAGAGGUUUACCACCUAAUAUAAUUACUUACAAUUCUAUAUUUGACGCUUUAUGCAAAAACCAUCAUGUUGAAAAGGCAAUUGCAUUAUUAACAAAAGUUAAGGUCGAGGGCAUUCAACCAAAUAUGAACACAUAUACUAUUCUUAUUCACGGAUUGUGUAAAGUUGGAAGAGUAGAGGACGCGAGAAAUGUUUUUGAAGAUCUUUCAGUCAAAGGCUACAAUCUACACGUUUAUACAUAUAAUGUUAUGGUCCAAGGGUUUUGCGACAAGGGCUUGUUUGAUGAAGCGUUGGCCUUGCUAUCAAAAAUGAAAGACAAUAGUUGCAUUCCAGACGCUGUAACUUAUGAAAUAAUUAUCCAUUCUCUGUUUCGUAAAGGUGAAAAUGAUAAAGCAGAGAAAUUUCUACGUGAAAUGAUCGCAAGAGGUCUACUGUAAGAUUGAAACUAGGAAGCAUGACUCUAGGAACACAACUUAUUGAUUAGAUCUGGCUACAACAACUUUGAUAGCUUUUAUAUCAGGAAUUAGUAAUGUUGUAAAAUAGAAACUUUUGGCUACUCUGGAUAGUGAAUUGGGACUGGGGGUUUAAGUGAAACUUCGACUUUGUGUUUUCGACCUUUUGCAUGGUAACUGACUAACUGUAUUGAUCACUUGUCCUUUAUAUGAAUUAGUUUACUGACCCAAAGUUAUAUGGUGUUUUGGUUAACUGUGUGAAUUAAAAUCUUUGCAUUGUAUAUAGUUGUAAUAUCCCAAAAAUUUAGUAAAUGAGAAAUACUCAUGUAUUAGUAUAACCUUAUAUUAGGAUAGGAAUUUAACCAAGGAUAGAUUAGUAAACCCAUAAAAUUAGUAAGGGCAAAUUAAAAAUUUCUAGAAGUGUUAACUUAUUACCAAUUAAGUAACCUAAAUUGAGUUGUAAUGCACUAGUGGCAUAGAGGAAUUAGCUAGAAGCUUAAGAGUGAGAUGUAUUUAGUGAGAUAAGUGUAUAUACAAAAUUAUUGUAUGAGUUUUGGAGAAGGAUAUAUAUAAAUAAAUAAAUAAACUAUAAAAGCUAAGGAUAAAACAAAGCUUUCUCUCUAGAAACAUACACACGUAAGUCUUCUUCUCUCCCUUUGCUAUGGCAUCGCCGAACAAAGAACAACACACAAUCUUAGGGCCAAAAAUUUUCCUCUUCCAUUUCUAGCAUCUCGACCCUAUUUCAUGCCAAGUUCUUACUUAUAUUCACUUUAUUGGACGAGAAGGAGACUGAAAUUUUACCAGAAUAAAGCGAGGAGCAAGGUUUAAGGUAGUUUGUGGAAAAUUGAAGAAGUUCAAAAUUCUCUCUUUUUCCAUCAAUUUCUUGUUUUGUGAUCAAAUUAACAAGAUAUAUAUUGGACUGAAAAGUAGAGAAACAACUGAAUCUAUCAACCUUAACAAAGAAAUAGACAGAGAGCUUGAGCAACAUGUUUUGUGCCAUUGAUCACUAAUCUGUUUGGUUGGGGGAUUUUUGAAGGGGAGUGGAUAUAUAAUAUUUUAAAUGAAGUGUAUUUGAUUCAAUUUUUUAGGAGGGGAGGGAAUCAAAAUUCCUCAUAGGGAAAUUUCUGGUUCCCCAAAUUGGAGGAUGUUAAAAAAUAAUUUAUUAUAUGGACAAACUUAAUUGCAUUUAAUUUUUUUUUGUUAAAAUCCUAAA